rnacentral:rRNA from 1 species
UACGGGGGGAGCAAGCGUUGUUCGGAUUUACUGGGCGUAAAGGGCGCGUAGGCGGCGCAACAAGUCAGUUGUGAAAUCUCUGGGCUUAACCCAGAGCGGUCAACUGAUACUGUCGUGCUAGAGUGCGGAAGGGGCAACUGGAAUUCUCGGUGUAGCGGUGAAAUGCGUAGAUAUCGAGAGGAACACCUGCGGCGAAGGCGGGUUGCUGGGCUGACACUGACGCUGAUGCGCGAAAGCCAGGGGAGCGAACGGG